rnacentral:rRNA from 1 species
UACAGAGGGUGCAAGCGUUAAUCGGAAUUACUGGGCGUAAAGCGUGCGUAGACGGUUAUGUAAGUCGGGUGUGAAAGCCCCGGGCUCAACCCUGGGAAUUGCAUUCGAGACUGUGUAGCUAGGGUACGGAAGAGGGAAGCGGAAUUUCAGGUGUAGCGGUGAAAUGCGUAGAUAUCUGAAGGAACACCAGUGGCGAAAGCGGCUUCCUGGUCCAGUACCGACGUCAGGCACGAAAGCGUGGGGAGCAAACAGG